GGCGGUAUGCUUUACACAUGCAAGUCGUACGGAAGUUUUUAACUUUAGUGGCGGACGGGUGAGUAACACGUAAGAAUUUGCCUUUAGGAGGGGGAUAACAACUGGAAACGGUUGCUAAUACCCCAUAUGCUUUCGAGUGAAACGGUUUUUCCGCCUAAAGAGAAGCUUGCGGCUGAUUAGCUUGUUGGUAAGGUAAUGGCUUACCAAGGCGACGAUCAGUAUCUGGUUUGAGAGGACGAUCAGACACACUGGAACUGAGACACGGUCCAGACUCCUACGGGAGGCAGCAGUGGGGAAUUUUCCGCAAUGGGCGAAAGCCUGACGGAGCAAUACCGCGUGAGGGAUGACGGCCUAUGGGUUGUAAACCUCUUUUUUCAGGGAGGAAUCAAUGACGUGUACCUGAAGAAUAAGCAUCGGCUAACUCCGUGCCAGCAGCCGCGGUAAGACGGAGGAUGCAAGUGUUAUCCGGAAUCACUGGGCGUAAAGCGUCUGUAGGUGGUUUAAUAAGUCAACUGUUAAAUCUUGAGGCUUAACCUCGAAAUCGCAGUCGAAACUAUUAGACUAGAGUAUAGUAGGGGUAAAGGGAAUUUCCAGUGGAGCGGUGAAAUGCGUAGAUAUUGGAAAGAACACCAAUGGCGAAGGCACUUUACUGGGCUAUUACUAACACUGAGAGACGAAAGCUAGGGUAGCAAAUGGGAUUAGAUACCCUGGUAGUCC
rnacentral:rRNA from 1 species